rnacentral:rRNA from 1 species
CGAAGAGAUUUGGGAGUGCUCGAAAGAGAACCAUCACACAGGUGCUGCAUGGCUGUCGUCAGCUCGGGUCGUGAGAUGUUGGGUUAAGUCCCGCAACGAGCGCAACCCUUGUCAUUAGUUGCUACGAAAGGGCACUCUAAUGAGACUGCCGGUGACAAACCGGAGGAAGGUGGGGAUGACGUCAAGUCCUCAUGGCCCUUAUGGGUAGGGCUUCACACGUCAUACAAUGGUACAUACAGAGGGCCGCCAACCCGCGAGGGGGAGCUAAUCCCAGAAAGUGUAUCGUAGUCCGGAUUGGAGUCUGCAACUCGACUCCAUGAAGUUGGAAUCGCUAGUAAUCGCGGAUCAGCAUGUCGCGGUGAAUACGUUCCCGGGUCUUGUACACACCG